UACCAACUUUAAAAUAAAUUUUCUUUUUAAUAUCCGCUUCACAACCAAUACCUUUCCAUGUAUUAUUUUAAAAGAUAUAUCACUUUCUGUCACAUGCUUGGAUAAGAUUUAUCGGCUUGAAACAAACAAUACCAUGCAUUCGGAAAGAAAGUGUCGUCCCUGAUUAGUCUGUUCGGACUGCACAUGCUAAUCUGUGUGGACACUUGCACAUGCAUGUAGUCCAGGUUCAUUCUGCACAACUCUGGCUAUCUCGCCUGGCUUGUAUCACCCUCCCUCUUGCAGGUUCAUUCUGCAAGGCUCUGGCUAUCUCGUCUGGCUUAUAUCAUCCUCACUCUUGCAGGUUCAAUAUGCAAGGCUCUGGCUAUCUCGUCUGGCUUGUAUCACCCUCACUCUUGCAGGUUCAUUCUGAACGACCCUGGCUAUCUCGCCUGGCUUAUAUCAACCUCACUCUUGCAGGUUCAUUUUGCACGGCUCAGGCUAUCUCGUUUGACUUAUAUUACCCUCCCUCUUGCAUGUUCAUUUUGCACGGCUGUGGUUAUCUCGCCUGGCUUAUAUCACCCUCACUCUUGCAGGUUCAUUCUGCACGGCUCUGGCUAUCUCUCCUUACUUAUAUCACCCUCCCUCUUGCUGGUUAAUCCUACACGGCUCUGGUUAUAUCUCCUCGCUUAUAUCACCCUCCCUCUUGCUGGUUAAUACUACACGGCUCUGGUUAUCUCUCCUGGCUUUUAUCACCCUCCCUCUUGCUGAUUAAUCCUACACGGCUCUGGCUAUCUCUCCUUGCAUAUAUCACCCUCCCUCUUGCUGGUCAAUCCUACACGGCUCUGGUUAUCUCUCCUGGCAUAUAUAACCAUCCCUCUUGCUGGUUAAUCCUACACGGCUCUGGUUGUCCCUCCUGGGCUUAUAUCAACAUAUCUCUUGCUGGUUAAUCCUACAAGGCUCUGGUUAUCUCUCCUGGCUUAUAUCACCAUCCCUCUUGCUGGUUAAUCCUGCACGGCUUUGUUUAUCUCUCGUGGCUUAUAUCACCCUCACCCUUGCUGGUAAAUCCUACACGUCUCUGGUUAUCUCUCCUGGCUUAUAUCACCCUCACUCUUGCAGGUUGAUUCUGCACGGCUGUGGCUAUCUCGCCUGACUUUAUCACCCUCACCCAUGCAGGUUAAUCCUACACGGCUCUGGUCAACUCGCGUUGCUUAUAUCAAUCUCCCUCUUGCUGGUUAAUCAUACACCGCUCUGGUUAUCUCGCCAGGCUUAUAUCACCCUCACUCUUGCUGGUUAAUCAUACACGGCUCUGAAUAUCUCGUCUGGGUUAUAUCACCCUCCCUCUUGCUGGUUAAUCAUACACGGCUCUGGUUAUCUUGCCUGGCUUAAAUCUGACCGGGUAUACGGCGUGUAAUUGUGUCUGGGUUCAUUCUAUACCAAUAUUGUAGGCAUGGUACAUGCAUUUCACUUUAAUGUUUCUGGCAGCUGUUAUGCGCCUUCAUAUACGUGUAUAUGUGUAUCAUGAUAAUUAUAAUGCAUGUGUACAUAUUAUGUUUACAAGCAAUGGAAUAAAGUCAUUUUUACUUUA